UGGGAGCCAGAACAAAAACCAGAGAC
rnacentral:piRNA from 1 species